rnacentral:rRNA from 1 species
UGCCUACGGGGGGCAGCAGUGAGGAAUAUUGGUCAAUGGGCGAGAGCCUGAACCAGCCAAGUCGCGUGAGGGACGACGGCCCUACGGGUUGUAAACCUCUUUUGCCUGGGGACACACGGCGGCACGCGUGCCGUCCUGAGGGUACCCGGCGAAAAAGCAUCGGCUCACUCCGUUCCAGCAGCCGCGGUACUACGGAGGAUGCGAGCGUUAUCCGGCUUUAUUGGGUUUACAGGGUGCGUAGUCUGUAUGCCACGUCCGCGGUCACCU